UACGAAGGGGGCUAGCGUUGCUCGGAAUCACUGGGCGUAAAGAGUGUGUAGGCGGUGCUCUAAGUUCGGUGUGAAAUCUCCUGGCUUAACUGGGAGGGUGCGCCGGAAACUGGAGUGCUUGAGCGUGGGAGAGGAAAGCGGAAUUCCUGGUGUAGCGGUGAAAUGCGCAGAUAUCAGGAAGAACACCCGUGGCGAAGGCGGCUUUCUGGGACGGUACUGACGCUGAGACGCGAAAGCGUGGGGAGCGAACAGG
rnacentral:rRNA from 1 species